rnacentral:rRNA from 1 species
CCCUUAGAUGUUCUGGGCCGCACGCGCGCUACACUGACGAAUGCAACGAGCUUAUAACCUUGGCCGAAAGGUCUGGGUAAUCUCCAAAUUUCGUCGUGAUGGGGAUAGAUUAUUGCAAUUAUUAAUCUUCAACGAGGAAUGCCUAGUAAGCGCAAGUCAUCAGCUUGCGUUGAUUACGUCCCUGCCCUCUGUACACACCGCCCGUCGCUCCUACCGAUUGAAUGGUCCGGUGAAGCGUUCGGACCGUGGCCUUUGGACGGUUCGCCGUCUGUUGGCUGCGGGAAGUUCGUUAAACCUUAUCAUUUAGAGGAAGGAGAANUCGUAACA